rnacentral:rRNA from 1 species
AGUUGAUCCUGGCUUAGGAUGAACGCUAGCUACAGGCUUAACACAUGCAAGUCGAGGGGCAUCAUGGAGUUUGCUUGCAAACUCUGAUGGCGACCGGCGCACGGGUGAGUAACGCGUAUCCAACCUUCCCUAUAGUAGAGGAUAGCCCGGCGAAAGUCGGAUUAAUACUCUAUGUUUUCCGUUGCAGACAUCUAAGAUGGAACAAAGGCUUGCCGCUAUAGGAUGGGGAUGCGUCUGAUUAGGUAGUCGGCGGGGUAACGGCCCACCGAGCCAUCGAUCAGUAGGGGUUCUGAGAGGAAGGUCCCCCACAUUGGAACUGAGACACGGUCCAAACUCCUACGGGAGGCAGCAGUGAGGAAUAUUGGUCAAUGGGCGAGAGCCUGAACCAGCCAAGUAGCGUGCAGGAUGACGGCCCUAUGGGUUGUAAACUGCUUUUAUGCGGGGAUAAAGUUCACUACGUGUAGUGUUUUGUAGGUACCGCAUGAAUAAGGACCGGCUAAUUCCGUGCCAGCAGCAGC